UACGUAGGGAGCAAGCGUUGUCCGGAAUCAUUGGGCGUAAAGCGCGCGUAGGUGGCCCGGUAAGUCCGCUCUGAAAGUCACAGGCUCAACCUGUGAAAGCGGGUGGAUACUGCCGGGCUAGAGUCCGGAAGAGGCGAGUGGAAUUCCUGGUGUAGCGGUGAAAUGCGCAGAUAUCAGGAGGAACACCGAUGGCGAAGGCAGCUCGGUGGGACGGUACUGACGCUGAGGCGCGAAAGCGUGGGGAGCAAACAGG
rnacentral:rRNA from 1 species